UACGGAAGGUCCGGGCGUUAUCCGGAUUUAUUGGGUUUAAAGGGAGCGUAGGCCGUGGAUUAAGCGUGUUGUGAAAUGUAGACGCUCAACGUCUGACUUGCAGCGCGAACUGGUCCACUUGAGUGUGCACAACGCAGGCGGAAUUCGUCGUGUAGCGGUGAAAUGCUUAGAUAUGACGAAGAACUCCGAUUGCGAAGGCAGCUUGCGGGAGCACAACUGACGCUGAAGCUCGAAAGUGCGGGUAUCGAACAGG
rnacentral:rRNA from 1 species